GAAAUGCGAUAAGUAGUGUGAAUUGCAGAAUUCAGUGAAUCAUCGAAUCUUUGAACGCACAUUGCGCCCCUUGGUAUUCCAUGGGGCAUGCCUGUUCGAGCGUCAUCGACACCCCUCAAGCUCUGCUUGGUGUUGGGCGGCUGUUCCGAUCGUUUCGCACCCCAGCGAACGGGGGGAACUCGCCCCAAAGUCAUUGGCGGCCUUUUUGCCCGGCUCCCCGCGCAGCAGUGUGCGCUUCGGGGGCCGUUCGCGAGCUGGCAUCCAUCAAGCUUGACCCUUCAUGCUUGACCUCGGAUCAGGUAGGGAUACCCGCUGAACUUAA
rnacentral:misc_RNA from 1 species